AACGUAGGUGGCGAGCGUUGUCCGGAAUCAUUGGGCGUAAAGCGCGUGUAGGCGGUCCGGUAAGUCCGCUGUGAAAGUCGGGGGCUCAACCCUCGAAUGCCGGUGGAUACUGUCGGGCUAGAGUGCGGAAGAGGCGAGUGGAAUUCCUGGUGUAGCGGUGAAAUGCGCAGAUAUCAGGAGGAACACCAAUUGCGAAGGCAGCUCGCUGGGACGUUACUGACGCUGAGACGCGAAAGCGUGGGGAGCAGACAGG
rnacentral:rRNA from 1 species